rnacentral:rRNA from 1 species
UACAGAGACUGCAAGCGUUAUUCGGAUUCACUGGGCGUAAAGGGUGCGCAGGCGGCCGUGUGUGUUAGAUGUGAAAUCUCGGGGCUCAACCUCGAAACUGCGUCUGAAACUACGAGUCUAGAAUCUUGGAGGGGGAAGGGGAAUUUCGCAUGUAGGGGUAAAAUCCGUAGAUAUGCGAAGGAACACCAGAGGCGAAGGCGCCUUCCUGGACAAGUAUUGACGCUGAGGCGCGAAAGCGUGGGGAUCAAACAGG